rnacentral:rRNA from 1 species
AGGAUUAACGCUGGCGGCGUGCCUAACACAUGCAAGUCGAACGAGGUAGCAAUACCUAGUGGCAGACGGGUGAGUAACGCGUGGUCAACCUACCGUUGAGUGGGGGAUAACUAGCCGAAAGGUUAGCUAAUACCGCAUACGUCUCCGAGGGGCAUCCCUUGGCGAUAAAAGGAGCAAUCCGCUCGAUGACGGGACCGCGUCCCAUUAGCUAGAUGGUGGGGUAACGGCCUACCAUGGCACCGAUGGGUAGCUGGUUUGAGAGAGCGACCAGCCACACUGGGACUGAGAAACGGCCCAGACUCCUACGGGAGGCAGCAGUGAGGAAUUUUCCGCAAUGGGCGCAAGCCUGACGGAGCGACGCCGCGUGUGGGAAGAAGGCCUUCGGGUCGUAAACCACUGUCGAAGGGGACGAUAAUGACGGUACCUUGGAGGAAGCCCCGGCUAACUACGUGCCAGCACGC